UGUUGGUCGUCAGCUCGUGUCGUGAGAUGUUGGGUUAAGUCCCGCAACGAGCGCAACCCCUAUUGCUAGUUACCAUCAUUAAGUUGGGGACUCUAGCGAGACUGCCAGUGAUAAACUGGAGGAAGGUGGGGAUGACGUCAAAUCAUCAUGCCCCUUAUGACCUGGGCUACAAACGUGAUACAAUGGCUGGAACAAAGGGAUGCGAAGCAGUGAUGUGGAGCGAAACCCAAUAAAAACAGUCUCAGUUCGGAUUGAAGUCUGCAACUCGACUUCAUGAAGUCGGAAUCGCUAGUAAUCGCGGAUCAGAACGCCGCGGUGAAUACGUUCUCGGGGUUU
rnacentral:rRNA from 1 species